AAGAAUGGAAUAAAAUACUAUCGAAUGACAUUUGGGAAUUUCCUAUGUCAAAUAGUAAAAUUGUUCCUGCAUUGUUAAUAAGUUACUAUCAUCUUCCUGCACAUUUAAAACGCUGCUUUGUUUAUUGUUCGUUGUAUCCCAAAGAUUAUCAAUUUGAUAAAGAUGAAUUAAUCUUGCUAUGGAUGGCUGAAGAUCUUUUGCGACCUCCAAAGAAAGGAGAGACUUUAGAAGAAGUUGGUUGCGAGUGUUUUGAUGACUUGUCUUCAAGACUAUUUUUCAAGCAGGCUGAGUACUAUGCUAGGAAGUAUUUUGUGAUGCAUGAUCUCAUGCAUGACCUGGCAACUUUUCUUGCUGGAGAUCUUUAUUGUAGAUUCUCAAAAGAACUUGGUGAAAAGGAAGAGAGGAAUAUUCUAACUCGUCAUUUGUCAUACACUCAUUCAAUCCCUGAGAAAGCAUGCUCCUCUAGUGAAAUAGAAUCUUUGAGGACAUUAUUGUAUAUCAAUGAUAUACCUUAUAUCCGGGAUGAACGCGCAACAUUACCAUGUGACAUAUUGUCAAAGAAUAAAUACUUGAGAGUUUUGUCCUUUGAUAGACUCAAUAUAUUUCCUGAUUCAAUAGGUAAAUUGAUCCAACUGCGCUAUUUGGAUCUCUCUAGAAGUGAUGUUCAGAUAUUGCCCGAGUCAUUGUGCAAUUUGUGUAAUUUACAAAUAUUAAAGCUAUCAGAUUGUUCAAAGCUGACUAUGCUGCCCAAUGGCAUGUGUAAUCUUGUGAAUUUGCAGUGUCUUGAUAUAAGGGGUACUCCUCUGAAAGAAAUGCCAAAAGGAAUGGGCAAAUUGAAACAGUUGCACAUUUUAAGCAAGUUUGUGGUGGGAAAGCAAGAAGACAAUGGAAUUCAAGAGUUAGGAGGACUUUUAAAUCUUCAUGGAUCACUUGAGAUUGAGAAAUUGGAGAAUGUGGUUGAUGCCAAUGAGGCAAGGAGUGCAAGAAUAAUAGAUAAGAAGCACAUUGACAAGUUAUUGUUGAAAUGGUCUCUGUCUUCAGGCGAUGAUAUAGUUUCAAACACACAUACUGAUGAACAAGAUAUACUUUGGGGCUUGCAACCACACACUGGCUUGAAACAGUUGACUGUUGAUGGAUACAAAGGUAAAAUAUUUCCAGAUUGGAUUGGGCAUUCCUUGUACCAAAACAUGACAAGUGUAUCUCUCAAGUCUUGCAAGAAUUGCUACAUGCUGCCUUCACUUGGACAGCUGCCAUCUCUUAAGUCCCUCCGCAUCGAAAGCUUUGAUCAGCUGAAUAGCAUUGGCAAGGAGUUUUACAAGAAUGAAGGCCAUCAACAUUCUUCGCCUAUUGCACCGUUUUCCUCACUGGAGGAAUUGAUAUUUUAUAGUAUGCCAAGUUGGGAGGAGUGGCACUUACCUGACUCAGAAGCCUUUCCUCGGCUUAAGAGCCUUGAAAUAAGAGAUUGUCCAAUGUUAAAGGGAGAUAUGCUUAAUCAGGUAUUAAUGAGAAUUGUUUUUUCCUCAUCGGAUGUUUCCAAAGUGCGCCAACUGGAAAUACAAGAAGAUGGUGAAAGAUGGUAUAAAAAGAUGAGCCUUGAUGAGGAUAGUUUAUCAAUUAGGGGAUUUGAAUGUGUGGUUGAGUGUGCAUUUAAGGCAAGGAUCAUCCACCAUCUAACUUCCCUCCAAGAAAUACAAAUCUCAGGGUGUUCAUCUGUUGUAUCCUUGGGGGGCAAUUCUUUACCCAAAUCUUUGCAAAAGCUCAAAAUCUUUAAUUGCCGCCAAAUUGAAUUACUCCAGCAACAACACAAGUAUGAUUUGGUACAUCUACAAAUAUAUGAAAGCUGUGCUUCACUGACUUCAUUAUCCUUGGAUGCCUUUCCCAAUCUCGAGAAUCUGGAGAUAGAAUGGUGUUCAAAUCUGGAAUCAGUUUCAAUGUCAGAGCCACCACACACUGCUCUCCAACGUCUCACCAUCAGUCAAUGCUCCAAAUUUGUGUCAUUGCCAUCUGACAUGAAUAGUCUUCUCCCAAAUUUACACUCUCUGGACAUACAAGGUUGCCCAAACAUUUGUAGGUGGCCAGAGGGUGGUUUGCCGGCUAACCUGAAAGAUCUUAGUGUAGGAGAUUGCGAGGAACAAGUGAGGGGUCUAUCAUGGUUGGGCAACUUGGACAACCUCACUCAUCUCACCAUCUCAGAUCAUCACAGUGUGAGCAGAAUAAAGUCAUACCCAGAGGUGGGUUGGCUGCCUCCCCUUCCCUCCCUUACCACUCUACAUAUCCAAGCGUUUGAUAAUCUGGAGACAUUGGAGUGCAAUGAGCUUCUCCACCUCACCUCCCUUCAACAAUUGCAUAUUUCAUGGUGUAAGAAGCUGGAGAAUAUUGCAGGAGAAAAGCUGCCUGCCUCUCUCUUACUACUUCAAAUUGAUGCCUGUCAUUUGCUGCGCAAACGCUGCAAGAACAAGCAUCAACAAAUUUGGUCCAAAAUUUCCCACAUUCCCAUCAUUCAAGUAGAUGGCAAGCAAAUUUUCUGAGUAGAGGUUUCUGAGCAGGUAGAAGAACUUGGGUUUUGUGAUCAACAACUAGCUUGCAAGUAAACUUUCUGUGAAGAUUUUCCUGGGAUAUGAGGAGAUUACUACUAUGAUCUAGGAUCAGCUUUUAAAGUUGUGUUGCAAAACCAUUAAAAUGUGUAUGGGGUGGCCUCAUCAACAUUUCAAGAUAGAAGAUUGUUCAGAUCUCCUAUUCUUCAUUCUUGGAUCAUUCUCUUUUUCUCCCUCACAAAGCUUACAUUGAAGAUCUUUAUUUUUAUCUUAGGUUAGCUAAAAUGUCUUCUAGUCUUCCAGUAUUUUGAUUUCUUUGUAUAAAUCUUUCUGUAACAACAAAAGGCUAUCAUGAGUUGGUGAAGAAUUAAGAAAAAGCCAUGAAUUGAAAAGGCAAGAUAGAUUAGAUGAAAAAACCAUCAAGAUGUGUUUGUAUUUGAUUCUGAUUUUGAAAAGAUAGAUUAGAAUUCAUUUCAUUCUUGGUGUGGGAACUCAGGUCUGAGUUCACUUGUUCCUGAUAUUGGUAUUGGUGUUUGUAAUUUGGUUUGGUUACAGUUUCCACUAUAGUUUUGGAAGAGACUGGAUAUAGGUUUCAUUGUAUUUAUAGAUUGAAUCAGGAUACAUGGUUAUGUCA